rnacentral:rRNA from 1 species
GACGAACGCUGGCGGCGUGCCUAAUACAUGCAAGUAGAACGCUGAAGGAGGAGCUUGCUUCUCUGGAUGAGUUGCGUACGGGUGAGUAACGCGUAGGUAACCUGCCUGGUAGCGGGGGAUAACUAUUGGAAACGAUAGCUAAUACCGCAUAAUAGUAGAUGUUGCAUGACAUUUGCUUAAAAGGUGCAAUUGCAUCACUACCAGAUGGACCUGCGUUGUAUUAGCUAGUUGGUGGGGUAACGGCUCACCAAGGCGACGAUACAUAGCCGACCUGAGAGGGUGAUCGGCCACACUGGGACUGAGACACGGCCCAGACUCCUACGGGAGGCAGCAGUAGGGAAUCUUCGGCAAUGGACGGAAGUCUGACCGAGCAACGCCGCGGGAGUGAAGAAGGUUUUCGGAUCGUAAAGCUCUGUUGUAAGAGAAGAACGAGUGUGAGAGUGGAAAGUUCACACUGUGACGGUAUCUUACCAGAAAGGGACGGCUAACUACGUG